rnacentral:rRNA from 1 species
UACGGAGGGAGCUAGCGUUGUUCGGAUAUACUGGGCGUAAAGCGCACGUAGGCGGCGCCGUAAGUCAGGGGUGAAAUCCCGGAGCUCAACUCCGGAACUGCCCUUGAAACUGCAGUGCUAGAAUCUUGGAGAGGCGAGUGGAAUUCCGAGUGUAGAGGUGAAAUUCGUAGAUAUUCGGAAGAACACCAGUGGCGAAGGCGGCUCACUGGCCCGGUACUGACGCUGAGGUGCGAAAGCGUGGGGAGCAAACAGG